rnacentral:rRNA from 1 species
CACGGACGCUGGCGGCAGGCUUAACACAUGCAAGUCGAGCGCCCCGCAAGGGGAGCGGCAGACGGGUGAGUAACGCGUGGGAAUCUACCCAUCUCUACGGAAUAACGCAUGGAAACGUGUGCUAAUACCGUAUACGUCCUUCGGGAGAAAGAUUUAUCGGAGAUGGAUGAGCCCGCCGUUGGAUUAGCUAGUUGGUGGGGUAAAGGCCUACCAAGGCGACGAUCCAUAGCUGGUCAGAGAGGAUGAUCAGCAACACUGGGACUGAGACACGGCCCAGACUCCUACGGGAGGCAGCAGUGGGGAAUAUUGGACAAAGGGCGCAAGCCUGAUCCAGCCAGGCCGCGUGAGUGAUGAAGGCCCUAGGGUUGUAAAGCUCUUUCACCGGUGAAGAUAAUGACGGUAACCGGAGAAGAAGCCCCGGCUAACUUCGUGCCAGCCGCCGCAGUAAAAC